CUCAGGACCUUGAUCCUUUUUAGCCUUCCAUAUUUUCAAAUUCUUACAUAUAAUAAUUUUGCUUGCAAGAUUUUUUCUGAUUUAGUAUUGUCUAAUCUUUUCAUGCGAUGAAUCGAGGAAUUCCUAUGAAUUGCUCCUCCAUUGGCUAUUGAAAGCGUGCAUCUAAAAGUUUAAAGCCUAGAAAAUUGUUUAAUUUCAAGAGGCAUGAUGCAUUCUGGGGUAGAAAGAGUUCUCCUUCAGAAAAAGGGUGCAAUGUCAAGAUUUGUGUCCAACAGAAGAAGAAGAAGAAAAAAAAAAAAAAAAAAAAAAAAAAAAAAAAAAAAAGAAAGAAAGAAAAGAAAAGAAAAGAAAAA